GGGUUGUGAGGUUAAGCGACCAAGCGUACACGGUGGAUGCCCUGGCAGUCAGAGGCGAUGAAGGACGUGCUAAUCUGCGAAAAGCGCCGGUAAGGUGAUAUGAACCGUUAUAACCGGCGAUGUCCGAAUGGGGAAACCCAGUGUGACUCGUCACACUAUCAUUAACUGAAUCCAUAGGUUAAUGAGGCGAACCGGGGGAACUGAAACAUCUAAGUACCCCGAGGAAAAGAAAUCAACCGAGAUUCCCCCAGUAGCGGCGAGCGAACGGGGAGGAGCCCAGAGCCUGAAUCAGCAUAUGUGUUAGUGGAAGCGUCUGGAAAGGCGCGCGAUACAGGGUGACAGCCCCGUACACAAAAGCGCAUGUGCUGUGAGCUCGAUGAGUAGGGCGGGACACGUGGUAUCCUGUCUGAAUAUGGGGGGACCAUCCUCCAAGGCUAAAUACUCCUGACUGACCGAUAGUGAACCAGUACCGUGAGGGAAAGGCGAAAAGAACCCCGGCGAGGGGAGUGAAACAGAACCUGAAACCGUG
rnacentral:rRNA from 1 species